UGGGGAAUAUUGGACAAUGGGCGCAAGCCUGAUCCAGCCAUGCCGCGUGAGUGAUGAAGGCCCUAGGGUUGUAAAGCUCUUUCACCGGUGAAGAUAAUGACGGUAACCGGAGAAGAAGCCCCGGCUAACUUCGUGCCAGCAGCCGCGGUAAUACGAAGGGGGCUAGCGUUGUUCGGAAUUACUGGGCGUAAAGCGCACGUAGGCGGAUCGAUCAGUUAGGGGUGAAAUCCCGGGGCUCAACCCCGGAACUGCCUCUAAUACUGUCGAUCUGGAGUUCGAGAGAGGUGAGUGGAAUGCCGAGUGUAGAGGUGAAAUUCGUAGAUAUUCGGAGGAACACCAGUGGCGAAGGCGGCUCACUGGCUCGAUACUGACGCUGAGGUGCGAAAGCGUGGGGAGCAAACA
rnacentral:rRNA from 1 species